rnacentral:rRNA from 1 species
CACGUAGGGCGCGAGCGUUGUCCGGAAUUAUUGGGCGUAAAGAGCUCGUAGGCGGCCUGUUGCGUCCGCUGUGAAAGCCCGGGGCUUAACCCCGGGUCGGCAGUGGAUACGGGCAGGCUAGAGGUAGGUAGGGGAGAAUGGAAUUCCCGGUGUAGCGGUGAAAUGCGCAGAUAUCGGGAGGAACACCGGUGGCGAAGGCGGUUCUCUGGGCCUUACCUGACGCUGAGGAGCGAAAGCGUGGGAGCGAAC